UGUCGUCAGCAGUCCCGAGCUCUCCUCCCAUUCACAAGAACGUCACUGACACAGAAAUCUUUCCGCUUUCCCUCCUUUCUCUCUCUCGCUCGCUCGCUCGCUCUCUCUCCUCUGUCUUCCCUGAUUCCACUCUCUCGUCGUCUUCCUCAUCCAACUCCCUCCAAAACCUCCUCCGAAGCUAAGGCUUGUGCGGAGGGCUCUUCCCGCGCGAUGUCAAGUCGUUCACCUUCCACCCAGAUGGCCUCCUCGAAGUCCUCCUGGACCGUCCCUGCCUGGCCAAGUUCGACACCAGAGCCUACUUUCACAGCGUCGUGAGAGCCAACCUCACUUAUGAUUUGGAGGUUCUACAGCCGAAUAUUGGGAGGAAGAAUAUUGGAUUUGAAGCUCUUAGAUGAAAGUCAGCUCAAUUUUUGUUUCUUGGGAGUUUUGGGUGUUUGCUCUCACUUUUUUUCUUUCCCUUCAGAGGUUAACUUGUAAAAAAUCCACAAGCAAACGAAGUUCGCAAAUUAGAUAGAUGAAAAUUGCAAACAGAGAUAUCGAAAUUGUUUGUGGGGAUGAGUUUGUGAAUCGAAGGUGGUGAAGCCCGCAAGCCAUUUGGAAGAACAGAGUUCAGAUCGUUACCAUUCAAUCUUUUGAUCCUCGUUGAUUGUUCUUAAUUUUCCUGCAUAAAGCACAAGAAAAAUAAAGAAGGAAAGAGAUGUCACAAUGAAUCUCACUUAUCUCUCGUCUAUUGGUCAAGCCAUUUCAUGGGAUAUGACUAGAGAUUAAUAUCAUGCAGGCAUAGAUUCUACA